GGCGAAACGAAACUUGUGAAUCGUGCAUUUGCUCUUCAUGGUAGCUGCCAGAAAAUCGAAUCAAACUUACGGGACACUGGAUUACAGGUUGCUGCCACUACUCCAUGUGCCCGCAAUUGUCUUGCGUGUAUGAUUACACUAACGGCGUCGCCCACCACGGCGGAAGUGUUUUGCGUACACGCGUUUCAGCAUGAAGCCUGCAGGUGGACGUAAAUUGUAGAAGGCAG